rnacentral:rRNA from 1 species
CCUACGGGUGGCAGCAGUGAGGAAGAUUGGUCAAGGGACGAGAGUCUGAACCAGCCAAGUAGCGUGAAGGAUGACUGCCCUAUGGGUUGUAAACUUCUUGUAUAAAGGAAUAAAACGAGGCACGUGUGCCUUGUUGCAUGUACGGUAUGAAUAAGGAUCGGCUAACUCCGUGCCAGCAGCCGCGGUAAUACGGAGGAUCCGAGCGUUAUCCGGAUUUAUUGGGUUUAAAGGGAGCGUAGAUGGGUUGUUACGUCAGUGGUGAUCGUGUGCGGCUAAACCGUAAAAUUGCCCUUGAUACGGGCAUUCUUUCGUACAGUUGAGGUAGGCGGAAUUCGUGGUGUCGCGG